CGAAGAUGACGAGGUUAAUAGGUUCGAGGUGGAAGCGUGGUGACACGUGGAGCUGACGAAUACUAAUCGAUCGAAGACUUAAUCAAUUU
rnacentral:rRNA from 1 species